rnacentral:rRNA from 1 species
AACGAACGCUGGCGGCAUGCCUAACACAUGCCAGUCGAACGAGACCUUCGGGUCUAGUGGCGCACGGGUGCGUAACACGUGGGAAUCUGCCCUUUGCUUCGGAAUAACAGUUAGAAAUGACUGCUAAUACCGGAUGAUGUCGAAAGACCAAAGAUUUAUCGGCAAAGGAUGAGCCCGCGUAGGAUUAGGUAGUUGGUGGGGUAAAGGCCUACCAAGCCGACGAUCCUUAGCUGGUCUGAGAGGAUGAUCAGCCACACUGGGACUGAGACACGGCCCAGACUCCUACGGGAGGCAGCAGUGGGGAAUAUUGGACAAUGGGCGAAAGCCUGAUCCAGCAAUGCCGCGUGAGUGAUGAAGGCCUUAGGGUUGUAAAGCUCUUUUACCAGGGAUGAUAAUGACAGUACCUGGAGAAUAAGCGCCGGCUAACUCCGUG